rnacentral:misc_RNA from 1 species
GUGGUAAUGAUGAUAGAGGCCCAACAAUAGACAAGCACUGAGGGUUGACCUUAGGUGGUAACUACCGACUGGAUUAUCGAGUGAAUAUAGAAGAGAGGACCAACCUAAGGAAGUCAGGUGACUAGAAGAAAGGAGGUUGGAUGAUUGUGUUAAAGAGGUUGGAUGUCUGACUAAGGAAUGCAGAUCAACUUUGCAUAUCAAGAAUAUAAGUGUGAUCAAGGAAGAAAAUGAUCUCCAUAGGUACAGGGAUUUACUAGUAAUUAAUUUUUAUCAGUCCCCAAAUUAUAGGAGUAGAUUAAGCCAAUCUUGUAUCUCUAUAAUUUCUAAUUAUAUUCUUCUAGCGUGUAUAUUUAAACUGAUAAAGUGAAUAAGAAUGGGUAAAAGAUUUCAUAUCAUAGUUCUUUUCUUGUUAAGGUUGGUCGCUUCCUCAUUGAGCUUGCAAGGUUCCUAGCUCCCUCAUUGAGCUUGCAAGGUUAGUGCUUCCUUAUAGAGUUCGCAUUCGGGCACCAUAAGUUAGGGAAAGAACAAGUCGAAGUUCCCUUUUGUUUAAAAUCAUCCCUUGAUGCGAUCCAUAACCUUGGCCAGGACUAUAUCAUUGUCCCUCCUCACCCUCCAAGUAAUCAGCAUUUUCAACUGUUUUGGUAAGAUUGUGUCAAUGAAAUGUGAGUUUGCUUUAGAUUUUUGAGGAUACAACAGUGUGCAAUUUAAGGGAACCUUCUUGGGUUCUGUUUAGAGUUUUACCUUUCUUUUUUCCUCUUUUUUAAUAAAUUUGCAUGCUUAUGUGUGUGAAUGCAAUCUCACUUUUGUUUGGGCUUUAAAUCUUGUCAAAGUGCUUAAAAGUCUUAUUUAAGAGAGAGAAGCAACUUGUGCUAGAUUGAGUGGCUAUUUAGAAAUGCCAUUAGAAACAUCGCUUUUCUUAGUUCCUACAAAAUUUUAGAAAUAAAUUUUAGGAAGAAAAGAGCUACUCUAGAUUUGUCUAGUUUGUUUUUGGGAUGUUUGAAUUUGAGAUAGAAGAGCUUGAAACUUGUUCUUAACGAGGGCCAAAAAUUAAUCAAAAGAAUUGGUCAAAUUGAAAAAAAAAAAAUGCUUCAAAGAAUUUUGGAUCUUUUCCCAAAAUCUUGGUGGUUUUGGCAAUGGUAAGCUUCUUUUUUUGUUUUUUUGUGGUCUCUAAUAAAAAACAAGAUGCCUUAUGCUGCUAUGCCAUUGAGGCACAUCCCAAACUGGUGUAGAGUUUUUAUUACAUAUGUUGAUAUUGGAGUUAGUAUGGGCUGUGGAGAAUAAUUAUGUGGAUAAAUGUUCUAACCUUAGUUAUUAAAGGAGUAAGUUCACCAAAGUGUGAAGGGGUCGCAUGCUUGUGCCAAUGAGAGGUCAAGCAUCAAACUUUGCAAGGAAAAAGAAAAAAAUGAAAAUUAAGAUCAAAGAUUUAUUUGAAAAUCAAGAUAUUAACACGUUUUAACCAAAUUGACCAAAAUUAAGAAUCUCCAUUGCAUCAGUUAUAAGCUAAUCUAACCAUUACGGGUAAAUAUUGAACAAAUAUACAUAUAACCAAAAAUAUUUACAUCCUUUGUUUGAGACAACACUUUGAAAAAUGUAUAUCUUAAAAGCAAGAUGAAUGUAGGUUUUUACAAUUUCAUACUUAGAUAUUCAACUCAUGCACUUAUUUAAAUGCAAAAUGAACAAUAAGGUGAAUCUAUACUCUCUCUCUCUAUAUAUAUAUGUUGCUAUCUUUCUUAGUUAAUUUAUUUAAGUUCUUUUGGUUUAUCAUAUGAUCAUAAUAUCACAUUUUUGGGGAUGUUAUCAUAAUUGUUUGUUUUUUAUAAAAAGUAAAGGACAUAGAGGAGCCAUAUAACCCAAAAAUAGAGUGAAAUAAUCGAAGCCAAAUGGGAAUGAGAGGAGACUUGGGGAAAGCAAUUUGUUAGGAUUCCAAAAUCUUUAGACUACAUUUUUGGCAUGUUGAUACCAUAACCUUGUAGAUUGGUAAGUUUUGAGUUUGAUAGCGGCGGCCUUUAAUGGAGGGAGAGCUCUUUGAGGUGGAAGUUGGGGAGGCAUGCCUUUCUUAGGCCUUGCAUCUUGAAGAGGCAUGCACUUAAUCAAUAAAGCAAGCUCCUGUGAGAGAUACUGCAAGAGAGAUCUUGCCUUUCACUAGCAGAGGAGUUAGGGACAAUGCUCUUUGUGCAUUGAGCCUGUAGCGUGUCUUCAAUAAAUUUGGUUGUAAUAAACCUAUUAGCAAAUUCUUUCUCAUUCAUAAGGGAUUUAAAAGGGAAAUUGAUUUCUAAGUUGAAUAUAAACCAAUCUCAUCUUUCUCUUACUCUUUCCUUGAGGUGUAUUGGUGCACAAUCUGGUACAAUUUUUAUAGUUUCAUUUGUUUCGUGAUCUUUCUUGUAUUCUAACAAUUGAUUUAGUUGGGCAUUUUUGCUUCAUGUUUGUAGAAAGAGAUGAUUC